rnacentral:rRNA from 1 species
CACGUAGGGGGCGAGCGUUGUCCGGAUUUAUUGGGCGUAAAGAGCUCGUAGGCGGCUCAGUAAGUCGGGUGUGAAACCCCCGGGCUCAACCCGGGGACGCCACCUGAUACUGCUGUGGCUUGAGUCCGGUAGGGGAGCGUGGAAUUCCUGGUGUAGCGGUGAAAUGCGCAGAUAUCAGGAGGAACACCAGCGGCGAAGGCGGCGCUCUGGACCGGUACUGACGCUGAGGAGCGAAAGCGUGGGGAGCGAACAGG